rnacentral:rRNA from 1 species
UACGUAGGGUGCAAGCGUUGUCCGGAAUUAUUGGGCGUAAAGAGCUCGUAGGCGGUUUGUCGCGUCUGCUGUGAAAACCCGAGGCUCAACCUCGGGCCUGCAGUGGGUACGGGCAGACUAGAGUGCGGUAGGGGAGAUUGGAAUUCCUGGUGUAGCGGUGAAAUGCGCAGAUAUCAGGAGGAACACCGAUUGCGAAGGCAGCUCGCUGGAACGUUACUGACGCUGAGACGCGAAAGCGUGGGGAGCAAACAGG